GCGCUAGGCGGGGAGCCAGCGGUGCCCUGUACCUACAACCCGCUACAGUAGGGCCGAACGCCGUCCUCGGCGUUAUUAUUUGCGGAGCAGUCGCAGACAAGCAGUGAAGAUACCGGGGUCUCGUGCAAUAUCGAGCCGCGAACCGUGUCAGGGCGUGAGGCAGCAGCACUAAACGGAUUUCGGUGUGUGCCACGGGGUAGCUUCGGAGGAGCCGGCUGUCUGAA
rnacentral:SRP_RNA from 1 species